GCUAAGCGAGUGCUCUACCUCCUGAGCUAACUCCCCUACCCUAUGUGUUUCUGUCUCCAGUCUUUGUUCUGGUCUCCACGUCAUGGUCCACUAUGCUGAGAGGCCCCCAAAAGACGGGGAAAUGUCAAAGCCUUUCAUAUGAAACCAGGAAUCACCUAAAGGGUGUCUUCUCAGAUGACGCAGGGCCAGAGAGGGAUGGAUGGGCACCUAUUCCUCCGCCAGAGAAAGGAAGAGAGCAGCUGUGGGGGAACUCUGGCGUCUGAACCAACCCAUUGCGCAGUUCAGACUUUCCAGAAGUGGGACGGGAUGCGGGGCGGUACCAGAUAAGCGCGCGCCCCCGGGGUGCGGGGGAGGACUCAUCCGGCACGCGCCCGCUAAGGUGGCACAGCUGUCUCUGGAUGGUUGUUUCUUAAAGACAAAAACCAAAAACACAGCAACAAAAGGGGGAUUAUCACUGUUCUUUUCAGCUGGAAUAGAAAGAGGCGGUGAUUUCCUUUCCUCCCUUCUCCCGGGAGAGGGGCAAAAAGCAGACACUGUUUCCGCCCGGUUUCGAACCGGGGACCUCUCGCGUGUUAGGCGAGCGUGAUGACCGCUACACUACGGAAACCCACAUCAACCCGCCCCUCCGAGAUCAGUGUUCAAUUCUUGCUAAGUCGUGCCGUGGAGCCGAUCCAUAUCUACCCCAGGAAUAGAAGCGCCGGUUUCUGCUUAUUAUUCGCUGUUUCUGAUGGCCAAGAGCAAGGGGCAGUCAAGGCCAUUAAUGCAGAACUGGAAUUCAGCGAGGAGCGCCUCUUCUGCAGACUGCCCCCCGCUAGGGCGCGGGGAGGGCACCGGUUCCUCUGCGCGGAAAGGAGGGGGAGAAAGUCGCUAAGAGAAAAAUCCGGUGUGGCCCAGAUCUCCGGGUGCACAUUCCCGGGAGAGGAGCGCGCCGUUUCCAGCGCGGUGCAGCGCUCCGAGCGGCGGCCACCAGCGACCCAGCGCGCGAGCACAACGCGACCCACGAAGGGGGCUCGCGGGAGGCACCAAGAAGCACCGGCGCAUCAGAGCGGAGAACCCGCAGCCGAACCUUGCCGGGGCGCACCCAGCACCGGGGCGGGGGCCAGGACUUCGCUUCCACCGCAUGGGAUGAGCUGUGCAAGGUGGAGGAAGGCGGCGCAGAGCCGGGGGACGAAGCCCGGACCGGACAGGAAUCCCGGGGAGAAAGAAGGGGGCCCCAGCCUGGCCAGGAGGGGCAUUUUUGUCAGAGGGGGUAUUGGGGGAGUCCCUGAGCGCCGCGGGUUCCAGGGGGGCAGCGCGGACGCCCAUUCCCUGUUCUCCCCCGAGAGAAGCCGUUCCCGUGGGGCAGGAAGGGCUCUCAGCUCUUUGAGAUUGAGAUUCACAGGAAUCUAA
rnacentral:lncRNA from 12 species